GACGAACGCUGGCGGCGUGCCUAAUACAUGCAAGUUGAGCGAUGAAGCUUGGUGCUUGCACCAAUUUGAAGAGCAGCGAACGGGUGAGUAACGCGUGGGGAAUCUGCCUUUGAGCGGGGGACAACAUUUGGAAACGAAUGCUAAUACCGCAUAAUAACUUUAAACAUAAGUUUUAAGUUUGAAAGAUGCAAUUGCAUCACUCAAAGAUGAUCCCGCGUUGUAUUAGCUAGUUGGUGAGGUAAAGGCUCACCAAGGCGAUGAUACAUAGCCGACCUGAGAGGGUGAUCGGCCACAUUGGGACUGAGACACGGCCCAAACUCCUACGGGAGGCAGCAGUAGGGAAUCUUCGGCAAUGGACGAAAGUCUGGCCGAGCAACGCCGCGUGAGUGAAGAAGGUUUUCGGAUCGUAAAACUCUGUUGGUAGAGAAGAACGUUGGUGAGAGUGGAAAGCUCAUCAAGUGACGGUAACUACCCAGAAAGGGACGGCUAACUACGUG
rnacentral:rRNA from 1 species